rnacentral:rRNA from 1 species
UCCGUAGGUGAACCUGCGGAAGGAUCAUUAUUGAGAGAUUGGAUAGCACACAGUGCAAGACAGAUACCAUGAUUUAAAUCAUUAGAGACAUAUAAAGAGACAACUUUUAGCAACGGAUCUCUAGGUUCUCGCAACGAUGAAGAACGCAGCGAAUUGCGAAAAGUAAUGUGAAUUGCAUAAUUCCGUGAAUCAUCAAAUCUUUGAACGCACCUUGCGCUAGCUGGAAUUCCGGCUAGCAUGCCUGUUUGAGUAUUGAAAUACAAUCACCUUUGGGUGGACAUGGGCGAUGUUUAUAACGACUCGCCUCAAAGGAAAUUGGAGUAGAAUAGAACUAAAUAUCCUAACACUACUUGACCACAAAUCCAAUCUCAAAUCAGGUCGGACUACCCGCUGAACUUAA